UAUAGUUCUCUUCUCUAUAUAUUAGAAGAGAAAGUUUUUUCACAUGUCUGCUUAGUAUCUUUUUAAAAAAGCUUGAGGGUAAUUCAAUCAUUUAGCAUCAGCUCUAUACCUUGGUUUUCUUCUCAGCCACCGCAUCCUUUUCCCAUCCAGUCCCAAUAUCUUCUCCAUCCUUUUUUCCAUGGAUUCCAGAGCAUUGGUAUUUGCUCCAUCAAGAUAAUCACAGGGUUACAAGAUUUAGACUAUAAACUUCAUGUAUGCCGGGAGAUGAAGACGAGAAGUAGUACUUGGAACAAAAAAAGAGGUUCUUCAAAGUGCUGGCCUAGGAAGCAGAAACAAUGCUUCUACUAAAAUACAUGACUUCGACUAAAUAGGUACAAAAUGGUAUCAGAUGAUCAAACUAAGAUUGCAACAUCAAAAUAAAAAUAGGUAAAAAUAUUACAAAAAAUUUCGGCACUUCUUAUAGACUUGGCAUCCUGCUCCUACUUAAGCACGUCCGGUAGUGCAACAGACGUGAAUUACAUGCAAGCAUGUGCUUGUAUAUGUUCAUCCUUGCAUUUCAAUUGGCGAUUAUAUAAUUAUUUUGCCUUUUGUUUCAUAUAUGUUGCCAUGAGUAUUCAUAGUUAGCCAUGAAAAGUAUUAUUUAACGACAAAAGUCAAGAAAGGAACAAGAUUGGUAGCUCAAUGGACAUGUCUCUCUAGCUAAUUUGAAGGAGGCUUUUCCCUUGCACUAUUGAGGUUUAAGAAUUCAUCAGAUUCUCCAAUUUCAAGGGUUCUGCUGCUUGAGUUUUGCAGGUUCCAUUCUUAGUAAUUGAUGGAAGAUAGUGGAGAUUUCAAAAGGAAGGUACAAGAAAUAACCUCAAGAUUCAAAAACGGAGUGACUAAUAUCAAGAAAGCAAAUAUUUCAUAAUAAUCUCUACUCUGAAUGUGUGGUGUGGUGUUUCAUAGAAGGUAGGAAAAAUACUUUCGCACAUGAGAAAGAGAGCUUAAAUCUGGAGAUAUUGGAGGUGGUAUUUCCUCUAAUAAUGUCAGCACUCUAGAUGAGAUAUAUCAUGUAUGUGAAAAGCUGAAGCUGCCUUGACUGACAUUUCUAUACUAUGAGAAAAACCUACACUCGGCAGUUAGGUGAUGUUUCUAUAAUAUUAGAAAAUACCUUUAUCAGUGUCGGCAAUACAUAAGGUGUUUUUUUUUUCAAGGACAAUUAAGAAGAAGACUACUUCGCUUGGGAGAUUCAUCACUUUUUGCCAGAAUGUAAAUAAAGUAUAAAGUGUAUAUAUAUGAGUGAAUAUUUUGUUCAAAACUGUAUGUCAAUUAGCAUGAUGAUGUUGGGCCCGCGCUGGUAGGUUUCGACCUGUAUGCUUAAGGUCAUAAAAUUUCAAAUCAGGGUCAUAUUCGUCAUUUCUUAUGCCACCAAACAUCCAUGAUCCACCGUUGUUCUCCUCUUUUUGUUUUCCAUCGUAGUUCGUUUCUUUCGUAGCACUGACGAGACCCGUCGCCUUCCGGUUGUCUUCCUCACCUAAGAUCAUUAAUGGUCCACAGAGAACCAACCUCGGUCAUAACUUUCAAUCCACACUCAACCUUUCAGAAGAAAACCCAACAAAAUUGCCCAAAUUUCAUCCAUCAAAACCCUAACUCUACAAUAUAUACAAGGUUCUGUCUCUACUCCAUUUAUUUCUAUGAUUCUAAGGUAAAUCUCACGUUUUGUUUAUGAUUUUUUUUCCA